AUCUUGAAACUGUAAGUCCCUGAAUUCACAGACAAUUCAGAGUAAGGAUGGAGGCAAAGAAGAGGACCUUGGGUUUACUGUUCACGAGAUGACCUCAUAAAGGUGUUCAGUGAUGAAGAGGAGUGGCUGAAGAGAGCUUCAGCAAGCAACCACUAGGAUAAUGUUAAAGAUCUUCAGUGGUAAGAAGACAAGGAGCAAAGAUUUUUAUCUUACUUUGUGAUUUUCAUAAUUAAAAAAGAAAGAAAGGAAAGAGACGAGGUCUUGCCACAUUGCUCAGGCUGGUCUUGAACUCCUGGACUCAAGCAAUUCUUCCACUGUAGCCUCCUGAGGUGGCAGGAUUACAGCAUAAGCCACCAUGCCUGGCCUCAGUCACACUUUGGAAAAGAAGACUAUGGAUCUACAUGUUCAUUUUGUGGUCGAAUUAUAACCAACACGCCACUCUAUCUGCCUCCACUCUGCUUUU
rnacentral:lncRNA from 1 species